rnacentral:rRNA from 1 species
GAACUGCGCGAACGUUAUUCGGAAUCACUGGGCUUACAGGGUGCGUAGGCGGCCAACCAGGUCAGGUGUGAAAUCCCACGGCUCAACCGUGGAACUGCGCUUGAAACCGGAUGGCUUGAGUGAGCUAGGGGUGCACGGAACUUCCAGUGGAGCGGUGAAAUGUGUUGAUAUUGGAAGGAACACCAGAAGCGAAGGCGGUGCACUGGGGCUUGUCUGACGCUGAGGCACGAAAGCUAGGGGGUAGCGAACGGGAUUAGAUACCCCGGUAGUCCUAGCCGUAAACGAUGAGCACUAGGCGGAGGGGGGGUUUCGCCCCUUCUCGGCCGGAGCGAAAGCGUUAAGUGCUCCGCCUGGGGAGUAUGGUCGCAAGGCUG